rnacentral:rRNA from 1 species
GUGGAUUAGAUACCCGGGUAGUCCUAGCCGUAAACGAUGGGCACUAGGUGUGGGGGGUCAUCAACUCCCUCCGUGCCGCAGCUAACGCAUUAAGUGCCCCGCCUGGGGAGUACGACCGCAAGGUUAAAACUCAAAGGAAUUGACGGGGGCCCGCACAAGCAGCGGAGCAUGUGGCUUAAUUCGACGCAACGCGAAGAACCUUACCAGGGCUUGACAUGCAGGGAAAAGCGGCGGAAACGUCGUGUCCGCAAGGGCCCUGCACAGGUGGUGCACGGUUGUCGACAACU